UGAGUACGAGCUGCUACGGCAGCGAAGUGGGUGAUGUCAAGCUUCCAAGAAAAGCCCUAUACCCGUUAAGGCAUGACGGCCUGUACCCGAAACCGACACAGGUGGGGUGGUAGAGAAUACCGAGGGGCGCGAGAUAACUCUCUCUAAGGAACUCGGCAAAAUGGCCCCGUAACUUCGGGAGAAGGGGUGCCACCGCAAGGUGGUCGCAGUGAAGAGGCCCAGGCGACUGUUUACCAAAAACACAGGUCUCCGCUAAGUCGCAAGACGAUGUAUGGGGGCUGACGCCUGCCCAGUGCCGGAAGGUUAAGGAAGCUGGUCAGCGCAAGCGAAGCUAGCGACUGAAGCCCCGGUGAACGGCGGCCGUAACUAUAACGGUCCUAAGGUAGCGAAAUUCCUUGUCGGGUAAGUUCCGACCCGCACGAAAGGCGUAACGAUCUGGGCGCUGUCUCGGAGAGAGGCUCGGCGAAAUAGAAUUGUCUGUGAAGAUGCGGACUACGUGCACCCGGACAGAAAGACCCUAUGAAGCUUUACUGUAGCUUGGUAUUGUGCCCGGGCUCUGAAUGCGCAGGAUAGGUGGGAGGCUUUGAUCCAUUGCUUGUGGGUAAUGGUGAGCCACUGGUGAGAUACCACUCUUUCAGAGCUAGGGUUCUAACGGUCACCCGUUAUCCGGGGACCGGACAGUAUCAGGUGGGCAGUUUGACUGGGGCGGUCGCCUCCUAAAAGGUAACGGAGGCGCGCAAAGGUUCCCUCAGGCUGGUUGGAAAUCAGCCGACGAGUGUAAAGGCAGAAGGGAGCUUGACUGUGAGACCUACAAGUCGAACAGGGACGAAAGUCGGCCUUAGUGAUCCGACGGUUCUGAGUGGAAGGGCCGUCGCUCAACGGAUAAAAGUUACUCUAGGAUAACAGGCUGAUCUCCCCCAAGAGUUCACAUCGACGGGGAGGUUUGGCACCUCGAUGUCGGCUCAUCGCAACCUGGGGCUGAAGUCGGUCCCAAGGGUUGGGCUGUUCGCCCAUUAAAGCGGUACGCGAGCUGGGUUCAGAACAUCGUGAGACAGUUCGGUCCAUAUCCGGUGCACGCGCAGGAACAUUGAGAGGAUUUCUCCCUAGUACGAGAGGACCGGGAGGAACGCACCUCUGGUGUACCAGUUAUCGUGCCAACGGUAAACGCUGGGUAGCCAUGUGCGGAGCGGAUAACCGCAGAAAGCAUCUAAGUGGGAAGCCCACCUCAAGAUGAGUGUUCCCAUGGCAUAAGCCAGUAAGGUCACGGGAAGAACACCCGUUGAUAGGCUCUACGUGGAAGCGUGGCAACACGUGAAGCGAAGGAGUACUAAUAGACCGAGGGCUUGACCG
rnacentral:rRNA from 1 species